CCUAAAUACGGUUCACCCACUUUCCCCCUCUACUCCUUUUCACCAAAAUUGUUUCACAUUCCCUUCUUAAUUUCAUCACCUCACUACUCAAAUUCUUUCAUAUUUGUGCGCCUUCUACUUCCCUCCCCAAAUCCAAACAUAUUUCUUGAUGUGGUUCGAUUGAUUCUUAUCUAAUGACCGGUGAUUAUUGUUGUUAUUUGUUAAUUUUUGUCUAAUGUGCAUAGGUAUAUAUGACAUAUCAACUUCGCUGCUUAGAUGGAUGGUUUGUAACUUAGCGAAAGUGGAGAGACAACAUGAAGAUUGAAAAGCUUUUCAUGUUUUUUGCUGCUGGAGUUUUUAAGAUAGACAACAAACGUUGCAGGGUACUUUAACUUCAAAUUGUUCUACAAAUUACAAUCCCACUGCUUUAUUUCAAGGUUACAACUUGGAUUGGAUUUGGGCAUGUACUGUUUAAUUCAGGUAUUGUAUGAACUGAAGACCAAUACCUGGAUUAAUUGAAGACCAAUGACCAAUUGGUUUAGACUUAAAGUUAAGCGAGUCUCGUAUUGGUUACAAAAUUAUGCCAUGAUUGAGAGAUCUGAAGAGAACAUGAGGUUAUAAGCUCAAGUGCCAAGUUAGAAUAUGGGUUCAUAUAUGUUUAAUAUAUUGUAUUGAUUUUGGAUAAUUUAGUUCUUUAUUGUGUUAUAUUUGGAUAAGUUGGAAGUUGGAUAUUUCAGUCUAUUUUGUUUGGAUAUUUAUCUUUAGUAGAAUUUAUAUGUGUUGUGAAAA